rnacentral:rRNA from 1 species
UCGAGCGAGCGGAACUAAAGAUUUACUUCGGUAAUGACGUUAGGAAAGCGAGCGGCGGAUGGGUGAGUAACACGUGGGGAACCUGCCCCAUAGUCUGGGAUACCACUUGGAAACAGGUGCUAAUACCGGAUAAGAAAGCAGAUCGCAUGAUCAGCUUUUAAAAGGCGGCGUAAGCUGUCGCUAUGGGAUGGCCCCGCGGUGCAUUAGCUAGUUGGUAAGGUAAAGGCUUACCAAGGCGAUGAUGCAUAGCCGAGUUGAGAGACUGAUCGGCCACAUUGGGACUGAGACACGGCCCAAACUCCUACGGGAGGCAGCAGUAGGGAAUCUUCCACAAUGGACGCAAGUCUGAUGGAGCAACGCCGCGUGAGUGAAGAAGGUUUUCGGAUCGUAAAGCUCUGUUGUUGGUGAAGAAGGAUAGAGGUAGUAACUGGCCUUUAUUUGACGGUAAUCAACCAGAAAGUCACGGCUAACUACGUGCCAGCAGCCGCGGUAAUACGUAGGUGGCAAGCGUUGUCCGGAUUUAUUGGGCGUAAAGCGAGCGCAGGCGGAAGAAUAAGUCUGAUGUGAAAGCCCUCGGCUUAACCGAGGAACUGCAUCGGAAACUGUUUUUCUUGAGUGCAGAAGAGGAGAGUGGAACUCCAUGUGUAGCGGUGGAAUGCGUAGAUAUAUGGAAGAACACCAGUGGCGAAGGCGGCUCUCUGGUCUGCAACUGACGCUGAGGCUCGAAAGCAUGGGUAGUGAACAGGAUUAGAUACCCUGGUAGUCCAUGCCGUANACGAUGAGUGCUAAGUGUUGGGAGGUUUCCGCCUCUCAGUGCUGCAGCUAACGCAUUAAGCACU